UGCUGAUGCAUUGUUUAAAUUUCAUUGUUGUCAACAGCCUCGCCAUGAUGACGAUUAUGAUUAUCAUGACGAGCUAUGAGUUCAUUACCUGGCGUUUUUAAGGAAAAAAAAGGAGAGUUAUUAAAGCUUCUCCUUCUCAAACUUCUUGUUAUCCAUACUACAUUUUGUAACAGUAGCUCAUUAGGUAUGCAUUUCUGUAAUUUGGGACCAAUAUCAGAUGAACUGUGCUGUCAGAUGAACUGUGCUGGUCCUUUGUAACAUCUCUCUCAUCCUUCUAUCUCCUGUUCAAUCUCGUUAUUCAUACGACACUCUGCAACAGUUGCUCAUCUUGUAUGCAUUUCCAUAAUUUUGGAUGAGUAUCAGAUGGUUUGCUUUCAUCCAAUUC